UGCCCCAGUAACGGCGAGUGAAGCGGCAACAGCUCAAAUUUGAAAUCUGGCUCUCGGGCCCGAGUUGUAAUUUGUAGAGGAUGCUUUUGGUGAGGUGCCUUCCGAGUUCCCUGGAACGGGACGCCAUAGAGGGUGAGAGCCCCGUCUGGUUGGACGCCGAACCUCUGUAAAGCUCCUUCGACGAGUCGAGUAGUUUGGGAAUGCUGCUCUAAAUGGGAGGUAUAUGUCUUCUAAAGCUAAAUACCGGCCAGAGACCGAUAGCGCACAAGUAGAGUGAUCGAAAGAUGAAAAGAACUUUGAAAAGAGAGUUAAAAAGUACGUGAAAUUGUUGAAAGGGAAGCGCUUGUGACCAGACUUGGGCUUGGUUGAUCAUCCGGGGUUCUCCCCGGUGCACUCUUCCGGCCCAGGCCAGCAUCAGUUCGCCCUGGGGGACAAAGGCUUCGGGAACGUGGCUCUCUCCGGGGAGUGUUAUAGCCCGUUGCGUAAUACCCUGUGGCGGACUGAGGUUCGCGCAUUCGCAAGGAUGCUGGCGUAAUGGUCAUCAGUGACCCGUCUUGAAACACGGACCAAGGAGUCGUCUUCGUAUGCGAGUGUUCGGGUGUCAAACCCCUACGCGAAAUGAAAGUGAACGCAGGUGAGAGCUUCGGCGCAUCAUCGACCGAUCCUGAUGUUAUCGGAUGGAUUUGAGUAAGAGCAUACGGGGCCGGACCCGAAAGAAGGUGAACUAUGCCUGUGUAGGGUGAAGCCAGAGGAAACUCUGGUGGAGGCUCGCAGCGGUUCUGACGUGCAAAUCGAUCGUCAAACAUGGGCAUG
rnacentral:rRNA from 1 species